GACGGAGGAUGCAAGUGUUAUCCGGAAUCACUGGGCGUAAAGCGUCUGUAGGUGGUCAAAUAAGUCAACUGUUAAAUCUUGAGGCUCAACCUCAAAAUCGCAGUCGAAACUAUUAGACUAGAGUAUAGUAGGGGUAAAGGGAAUUUCCAGUGGGGCGGUGAAAUGCGUAGAGAUUGGAAAGAACACCGAUGGCGAAGGCACUUUACUGGGCUAUUACUAACACUCAGAGACGAAAGCUAGGGUAGCAAAUGGG
rnacentral:rRNA from 1 species